AUUGAACGCUGGCGGUAUGCUUAACACAUGCAAGUCGAACGGUAGCAGGCCUUCGGGCGCUGACGAGUGGCGGACGGGUGAGUAACGCGUAGGAAUCUGCCUCAUAGUGGGGGACAACGUGGGGAAACUCACGCUAAUACCGCAUACGCCCUACGGGGGAAAGCGGGGGAUCUUCGGACCUCGCGCUAUGAGAUGAGCCUGCGUUAGAUUAGCUAGUUGGUGGGGUAAAGGCCUACCAAGGCGACGAUCUGUAGCUGGUCUGAGAGGACGAUCAGCCACACUGGGACUGAGACACGGCCCAGACUCCUACGGGAGGCAGCAGUGGGGAAUAUUGGACAAUGGGCGAAAGCCUGAUCCAGCAAUACCGCGUGUGUGAAGAAGGCCUUAGGGUUGUAAAGCACUUUCAAUUGGGAGGAAAACCUACCGGUCAAUACCCGGUAGCUUGAC
rnacentral:rRNA from 1 species